AUGCCCCCUCCUUUGACAAACACAUCAAAAUUCAUACACAUACAUUAAUUAGUACAUCCUCGCAAUCCGAGGUAAUAAAAGAGCGUCGAUGCACCCCCAAAGUUAGUUCCCGCCGUUCUUCGUUCCGGGUCAUUUCUCGCGUCGUCUAAACCAUUCAAAAGUUGAAGAAUUUGGUCCUUCUUCUUACUUCUCUCUUCAAGAGAAACUAAUUAAGUUAUCAAACGAGACCUCGAGAAAAGACUACGGUCGACCAGGGGAGGAAGAUUAGAAAUGACAAUGAAUUACCAUGAAAUAUUUGUCAAUAUUUAAUACUUGAUGCAACUUGAAUAGGUGAAUCGAUUAUUAUUUAUAAUAAUAAAACCUUUUUUAAAUCUUUAUGAACAAUUGAAAUCUACUGAUCCCAACUUGUUCUUUUCCAGUUGGAAUCCUUCCCUCUCUUAUAUGAUUGGACGAAUUCGAGAAUCAUCUGGAUAAUUGGAAAUUGUUUUGUUGGAAGAAAGAAGAAAAUGAAGUAUUUCGAGUCAAACCUUCUCUCUUUCUGUUAUUUCCAUCUGGGUUUUGGAAGAGAGUUGGGUUAAAGGCCCCAGAUAAUUGAGAUGAUAUUUCAGUCAUUAAUUUACUGAAAUUUCAUUCCAAUUGCCUUUAACAGAUAUGUAGUUGUCGGGGUGACAACUUUUUGAAAAGAGGGACUAGUUGCGUUUUGGUUAUUUUCCUCUCUCUAAUUUAAAUUUUCACCCCAAUCUCUUUUCAUCUGUAAUAAACACGUUACUAUUAAGUCAAGAGUAUUUAAUUAUAUGAAUCCUAUAUAAAUGAAAGGAAAAUAUUGACCAGCGGUAGCUCUUGUGAUUCAAAGGGAAACUCUAUAUUUCAAUAAAGGGAUGAAAAAUGAA